GAAAUGCGAUACGUGGUGUGAAUUGCAGAAUCCCGCGAACCAUCGAGUCUUUGAACGCAAGUUGUGCCCGAAGCCAUUAGGUUGAGGGCACGUCUGCCUGGGUGUCUCACGUUGCGUCGCCCGUGCCCCCUCCCCCCCCAUGAAGGGGGGAAGAAGGGCUGCGGGCGGAUGUUGGCCCCCCACGGGAGCCCGCGCGCGGUCGGCCCAAAAGCGAGUCCCCCACGACGGACGACGCGUCGCGACAAGUGGUGCUUGACAAACCAUUGCGUCGCCUCGCGCGCGUCCGGUCCGUCUCGGGAGGCCUAUCGUUACCCUAUCGCGUCGUCGCCAAGGCGCUUCGAUCGCAACCCCAGGUCAGGCGGGAUUACCCGUUGAGUUCAA
rnacentral:misc_RNA from 1 species